GCGAGGUAGCUCAGUUGGUUAGAGCAUACGACUCAUAAUCGUAGGGUCGAGAGUUCAAGUCUCUCUCUCGCC
rnacentral:tRNA from 1 species